rnacentral:rRNA from 1 species
UACGUAGGGUGCAAGCGUUGUCCGGAAUUAUUGGGCGUAAAGAGCUCGUAGGCGGUCUGUCGCGUCGGCUGUGAAAUCCCGAGGCUCAACCUCGGGUCUGCAGUCGAUACGGGCAAACUGGAGUGUUGCAGGGGAGACUGGAAUUCCUGGUGUAGCGGUGAAAUGCGCAGAUAUCAGGAGGAACACCGGUGGCGAAGGCGGGUCUCUGGGCCUUGCCUGACGCUGAGGCGCGAAAGCUAGGGGAGCGAACAGG